GACGAACGUUGGCGGCGUGCCUAAUACAUGCAAGUCGAGCGAGCUUGCCUAGAUGAUUUUAGUGCUUGCACUAAAUGAAACUAGAUACAAGCGAGCGGCGGACGGGUGAGUAACACGUGGGGGAACCUGCCCCAUAGUCUGGGGUACCACUUGGAAACAGGUGCUAAUACCGGAUAAGAAAGCAGAUCGCAUGAUCAGCUUUUAAAAGGCGGCGUAAGCUGUCGCUAUGGGAUGGCCCGCGGUGCAUUAGCUAGUUGGUAAGGUAAAGGCUUACCAAGGCGAUGAUGCAUAGCCGAGUUGAGAGACUGAUCGGCCACAUUGGGGACUGAGACACGGCCCAAACUCCUACGGGAGGCAGCAGUAGGGAAUCUUCCACAAUGGACGCAAGUCUGAUGGAG
rnacentral:rRNA from 1 species